rnacentral:rRNA from 1 species
UGGGGAAUAUUGCACAAUGGGCGCAAGCCUGAUGCAGCCAUGCCGCGUGUGUGAAGAAGGCCUUCGGGUUGUAAAGGACUUUUGUCAGGGAAGAAAAGGCUGUUGCUAAUAUCAGCGGCUGAUGACGGUACCUGAAGAAUAAGCACCGGCUAACUACGUGCCAGCAGCCGCGGUAAUACGUAGGGUGCAAGCGUUAAUCGGAAUUACUGGGCGUAAAGCGAGCGCAGACGGUUACUUAAGCAGGAUGUGAAAUCCCCGGGCUCAACCUGGGAACUGCGUUCUGAACUGGGUGACUAGAGUGUGUCAGAGGGAGGUAGAAUUCCACGUGUAGCAGUGAAAUGCGUAGAGAUGUGGAGGAAUACCGAUGGCGAAGGCAGCCUCCUGGGAUAACACUGACGUUCAUGCUCGAAAGCGUGGGUAGCAAACAGGAUUAGAUACCCUGGUAGUCCACGCCCUAAACGAUGUCAAUUAGCUGUUGGGCAACUUGAUUGUUCAGUAGCGUAGCUAACGCGUGAAAUUGACCGCCUGGGGAGUACGGUCGCAAGAUUA